CUAAUUCACAUUUAUUGCAAAUGCAACCCCACAAAUGAAUGCUCAAAGCAAAGAGAUGUGGUUUUAGAGUAAUUUAAAUUUUACAGUUCCAUUUACCCUGCCUUUUAAUUUACUGCAUAAUGACCCCAUUAGAAUAAAGCACAUCUGGAGGUUCUUUGGGGAACAUUUAAUUUUCUGUGGCUUCAGUACUAACAGAACCUUCUACCAUAAAGCCCACAGAUGCCUUAAAGACUGUACAAAUUUCCACAUUUUAUGCCAAGAUGCCGGUUAAUUGUACAGACGAGACAACUACAGCAGAGCGCGAGGAAACGCUUCCCAGCGCGGAAAAGUGAAGAUACUGACCCAAGACUUACUCCGGGUAAAGUUUGCGUAUCCAAAACCUGAAAGCAGCUCACCCACUUUUUGAUGUCCAUUUAGCCCUGUUCCUUUUCGGGAAAGAGGCCACCUCGGGCUGUGCGUUCUCCGGGGGUCUCUCUUGCCUUUUACAUACAACCUUCUCCUGAACCCUGUAUGGCCCUUACUGUGUACAAGGGAAAACAAGGCAGUUUGCAGAGCUCCGGAAACCACGAGAGGCAAGUGUGGUAGCUGGGCCUGGCUUCGCCCUCUCCGGCAAGGCUACAGAUGCCUCCAGAUUCCAGCGGGCCACGUCAACGGAAUCAUCUGGAGUAUUCGAAAUUGAUUUGAAUAUUCAAUACAGAUCACCGCAGCAGAACUCAUGGAUGAGAAAUAAUGUGAAUCCAUUGCCAUUGAUUAGCUAAUUUAUGUUCUACAACUAAUCGAAGCACAAAUCUCAUUAGCCACAGGCUCUUUUUCAGUUUCCUUGGAGUGUUGUCUUUUGUUGGACCAGGACUGCACUAUCACAAUGACUGCAGCUUUCUAAUAACUCCUGUUGUUGGAAAGGGAAGGCAUCCUCCCCACCUCAUGACCUCAUGCACGUAUAACUUUUAUUUGGCAAUUUUCAGUUUGGCAGACCCAUUUUCCAGGAGCAAAAGAAGGAGGAGGAGGAGGACGAAGAAAAAUAAAAGAAGAACAAUAGCUUAUUUCCACAUGCCAACUGUUGUGCUAAGAAUUUAAGUCACAAUAACCCUGCAAAGUAGAGACUUAUUUAUUUACCUUUAUUUUAUAAAUUAAAAAAUUAAAGCUCAAAAUGGUUAAAUGACUUGCCAAAUGCACAUACGAAAUGCAGCAAAGUUAUAAAUCUUAAUUCAAGUCUUUUGGAUUCUCAAGCCAAUGCUCUUUCGGUAUCAUUGGGGAAGCCUGGAUUCCUGGAACUAUGUUUCGAAUCUCCUUUGCAGAUGCCAUUGGACUUCCACAGACCUCUUCUCUGCCCUGCUUGGAAACUGCAGCUGGGUGUCUGAGGCUGGGCCUUAGCUUAAGGGUUUUAUGAUGGGACUUGGGGCCUACGAAUCCCUGCCCCUGACACAUAUUCUCCCCGGAACGUGCUAUCAGCCUGGCUAACUAUCCUUUGCUGGACAUUUCUCUCUAAUUGUGAAGCAUUUUCUGCUCAACCUGGAUUGUGGAGGGAACAGGAGGAGGCAAAGUGGGAGCUAGUCCACAUAAGAUUCAACUUCCUGCCUAUAGCUUUUGCCAAGCAACUCAAGAAAAUGCCCGUGAGGGAACGGGUGCUGUCCUUUGCAAAUGAGAACGGCUGAGCUCUCUGCUCACAUAAUAAACCCAACUGGCCUGGCGGAUUCA
rnacentral:lncRNA from 1 species